GCUUAACACAUGCAAGUCGAACGGUGAAGCCCAGCUUGCUGGUGGAUCAGUGGCGAACGGGUGAGUAACACGUGAGCAAUCUGCCCCUGACUCUGGGAUAAGCGCUGGAAACGGCGUCUAAUACUGGAUAUGAGCUGCGAUCGCAUGGAUACCGUAGCUGGAAAGAUUUUUUGGUCAGGGAUGAGCUCGCGGCCUAUCAGCUUGUUGGUGAGGUAAUGGCUCACCAAGGCGUCGACGGGUAGCCGGCCUGAGAGGGUGACCGGCCACACUGGGACUGAGACACGGCCCAGACUCCUACGGGAGGCAGCAGUGGGGAAUAUUGCACAAUGGGCGCAACUGAUGCAGCAACGCCGCGUGAGGGAUGACGGCCUUCGGGUUGUAAACCUCUUUUAGCAGGGAAGAAGCGAAAGUGACGGUACCUGCAGAAAAAGCGCCGGCUAACUACGUGCCAGCAGCCGCGGUAAUACGUAGGGCGCAAGCGUUAUCCGGAAUUAUUGGGCGUAAAGAGCUCGUAGGCGGUUUGUCGCGUCUGCUGUGAAAUCCCGAGGGUCAACCUCGGGUCUGCAGUGGGUACGGGCAGACUAGAGUGCGGUAGGGGAGAUUGGAAUUCCUGGUGUAGCGGUGGAAUGCGCAGAUAUCAGGAGGAACACCGAUGGCGAAGGCAGAUCUCUGGGCCGUAACUGACGCUGAGGAGCGAAAGGGUGGGGAGCAAACAGGCUUAGAUACCCUGGUAGUCCACC
rnacentral:rRNA from 1 species